UACGUAGGGACCGAGCGUUGUCCGGAAUCAUUGGGCGUAAAGAGCGUGUAGGCGGCCACUUAAGUCCUGCGUGAAAUCUUGCGGCUCAACCGCAAGCGGUCGUGGGAAACUGGGUGGCUAGAGUGCGGGAGAGGAGAGUGGAAUUCCUGGUGUAGCGGUGGAAUGCGCAGAUAUCAGGAGGAACACCCGUGGCGAAGGCGGCUCUCUGGAACGCAACUGACGCUGAGACGCAAAAGCGUGGGGAGCAAACAGG
rnacentral:rRNA from 1 species